AGUUUCACCGCUCGAUCUUGGGACCCACCGCUGCCCUCAGCUCCGAGUCCAGGGCGAGUGCAGAGCAGAGCGGGCGGAGGACCCCGGGCGCGGGCGCGGACGGCACGCGGGGCAUGAACCUGGAGGGCGGCGGCCGAGGCGGAGAGUUCGGCAUGAGCGCGGUGAGCUGCGGCAACGGGAAGCUCCGCCAGUGGCUGAUCGACCAGAUCGACAGCGGCAAGUACCCCGGGCUGGUGUGGGAGAACGAGGAGAAGAGCAUCUUCCGCAUCCCCUGGAAGCACGCGGGCAAGCAGGACUACAACCGCGAGGAGGACGCCGCGCUCUUCAAGGCUUGGGCACUGUUUAAAGGAAAGUUCCGAGAAGGCAUCGACAAGCCGGACCCUCCCACCUGGAAGACGCGCCUGCGGUGCGCUUUGAACAAGAGCAAUGACUUUGAGGAACUGGUUGAGCGGAGCCAGCUGGACAUCUCAGACCCGUACAAAGUGUACAGGAUUGUUCCUGAGGGAGCCAAAAAAGGAGCCAAGCAGCUCACCCUGGAGGACCCGCAGAUGUCCAUGAGCCACCCCUACACCAUGACAACGCCUUACCCUUCGCUCCCAGCCCAGGUUCACAACUACAUGAUGCCACCCCUCGACCGAAGCUGGAGGGACUACGUCCCGGAUCAGCCACACCCGGAAAUCCCGUACCAAUGUCCCAUGACGUUUGGACCCCGCGGCCACCACUGGCAAGGCCCAGCUUGUGAAAAUGGUUGCCAGGUGACAGGAACCUUUUAUGCUUGUGCCCCACCUGAGUCCCAGGCUCCCGGAGUCCCCACAGAGCCAAGCAUAAGGUCUGCCGAAGCCUUGGCGUUCUCAGACUGCCGGCUGCACAUCUGCCUGUACUACCGGGAAAUCCUCGUGAAGGAGCUGACCACGUCCAGCCCCGAGGGCUGCCGGAUCUCCCAUGGACAUACGUAUGACGCCAGCAACCUGGACCAGGUCCUGUUCCCCUACCCAGAGGACAAUGGCCAGAGGAAAAACAUUGAGAAGCUGCUGAGCCACCUGGAGAGGGGCGUGGUCCUCUGGAUGGCCCCCGACGGGCUCUAUGCGAAAAGACUGUGCCAGAGCAGGAUCUACUGGGACGGGCCCCUGGCGCUGUGCAACGACCGGCCCAACAAACUGGAGAGAGACCAGACCUGCAAGCUCUUUGACACACAGCAGUUCUUGUCAGAGCUGCAAGCGUUUGCUCACCACGGCCGCUCCCUGCCAAGAUUCCAGGUGACUCUAUGCUUUGGAGAGGAGUUUCCAGACCCUCAGAGGCAAAGAAAGCUCAUCACAGCUCACGUACUUAGGAGUUUAGCUUAAGUCGUCAUAUAUAAAAUACAGUCUCUAAUAUCAUGAUUGAUGGAGAGCAUUCAGCUUGCCUUAGAUGCUGUAAAUUCAGGAAAAGCUGAACAUUAAGGCGUUUUUGUUUUUUGGUAGAACCUCUGCUAGCCAGACAACUAUAUUAUUUUGCUCAACAAAACAGUGGACAUUUCCUGAGGGGCUACGAUUUACCAGAACACAUCAGCAAUCCAGAAGAUUACCACAGAUCUAUCCGCCAUUCCUCUAUUCAAGAAUGAAAAAUGUCAAGAUGAGUGGUUUUCUUUUUCCUUUUUUUUUUUUUUUUUUUGAUACGGGGAUACGGGGUCUUGCUCUGUCUCCCAGGCUGGAGUGCAGUGACACAAUCUCAGCUCACUGUGACCUCCGCCUCCUGGGUUCAAGAGACUCUCCUGCCUCAGCCUCCCUGGUAGCUGGGAUUACAGGUGUGAGCCACUGCACCCACCCAAGACAAGUGAUUUUCAUUGUAAAUAUUUGACUUUAGUGAAAGCGUCCAAUUGACUGCCCUCUUACUGUUUUGAGGAAUUCAGAAGUGGAGAUUUCAGUUCAGCGGUUGAGGAGAAUUGCGGCGAGACAAGCAUGGAAAAUCAGUGACAUCUGAUUGGCAGAUGAGCUUAUUUCAAAAGGAAGGGUGGCUUUGCAUUUCUUGUGUUCUGUAGACUGCCAUCAUUGAUGAUCACUGUGAAAAUUGACCAAGUGAUGUGUUUACAUUUACUGAAAUGCGCUCUUUAAUUUGUUGUAGAUUAGGUCUUGCUGGAAGACAGAGAAAACUUGCCUUUCAGUAUUGACACUGACUAGAGUGAUGACUGCUUGUAGGUAUGUCUGUGCCAUUUCUCAGGGAAGUAAGAUGUAAAUUGAAGAAGCCUCACACGUAAAAGAAAUGUAUUAAUGUAUGUAGGAGCUGCAGUUCUUGUGGAAGACACUUGCUGAGUGAAGGAAAUGAAUCUUUGACUGAAGCCGUGCCUGUAGCCUUGGGGAGGCCCAUCCCCCACCUGCCAGCGGUUUCCUGGUGUGGGUCCCUCUGCCCCGCCCUCCUUCCCAUUGGCUUUCUCUCCUUGGCCUUUCCUGGAAGCCAGUUAGUAAACUUCCUAUUUUCUUGAGUCAAAAAACAUGAGCGCUACUCUUGGAUGGGACAUUUUUGUCUGUCCUACAAUCUAGUAAUGUCUAAGUAAUGGUUAAGUUUUCUUGUUUCUGCAUCUUUUUGACCCUCAUUCUUUAGAGAUGCUAAAAUUCUUCGCAUAAAGAAGAAGAAAUUAAGGAACAUAAAUCUUAAUACUUGAACUGUUGCCCUUCUGUCCAAGUACUUAACUAUCUGUUCCCUUCCUCUGUGCCACGCUCCUCUGUUUGUUUGGCUGUCCAGCGAUCAGCCAUGGCGACACUAAAGGAGGAGGAGCCGGGGACUCCCAGGCUGGAGAGCACUGCCAGGACCCACCACUGGAAGCAGGAUGGAGCUGACUACGGAACUGCACACUCAGUGGGCUGUUUCUGCUUAUUUCAUCUGUUCUAUGCUUCCUCGUGCCAAUUAUAGUUUGACAGGGCCUUAAAAUUACUUGGCUUUUUCCAAAUGCUUCUAUUUAUAGAAUCCCAAAGACCUCCACUUGCUUAAGUAUACCUAUCACUUACAUUUUUGUGGUUUUGAGAAAGUACAGCAGUAGACUGGGGCGUCACCUCCAGGCCGUUUCUCAUACUACAGGAUAUUUACUAUUACUCCCAGGAUCAGCAGAAGAUUGCGUAGCUCUCAAAUGUGUGUUCCUGCUUUUCUAAUGGAUAUUUUAAAUUCAUUCAACAAGCACCUAGUAAGUGCCUGCUGUAUCCCUACAUUACACAGUUCAGCCUUUAUCAAGCUUAGUGAGCAGUGAGCACUGAAACAUUAUUUUUUAAUGUUUAAAAAGUUUCUAAUAUUAAAGUCAGAAUAUUAAUACAAUUAAUAUUAAUAUUAACUACAGAAAAGACAAACAGUAGAGAACAGCAAAAAAAUAAAAAGGAUCUCCUUUUUUCCCAGCCCAAAUUCUCCUCUCUAAAAGUGUCCACAAGAAGGGGUGUUUAUUCUUCCAACACAUUUCACUUUUCUGUAAAUAUACAUAAACUUAAAAAGAAAACCUCAUGGAGUCAUCUUGCACACACUUUCAUGCAGUGCUCUUUGUAGCUAACAGUGAAGAUUUACCUCGUUCUGCUCAGAGGCCUUGCUGUGGAGCUCCACUGCCAUGUACCCAGUAGGGUUUGACAUUUCAUUAGCCAUGCAACAUGGAUAUGUAUUGGGCAGCAGACUGUGUUUCGUGAACUGCAGUGAUGUAUACAUCUUAUAGAUGCAAAGUAUUUUGGGGUAUAUUAUCCUAAGGGAAGAUAAAGAUGAUAUUAAGAACUGCUGUUUCACGGGGCCCUUACCUGUGACCCUCUUUGCUGAAGAAUAUUUAACCCCACACAGCACUUCAAAGAAGCUGUCUUGGAAGUCUGUCUCAGGAGCACCCUGUCUUCUUAAUUCUCCAAGCGGAUGCUCCAUUUCAAUUGCUUUGUGACUUCUUCUUCUUUGUUUUUUUAAAUAUUAUGCUGCUUUAACAGUGGAGCUGAAUUUUCUGGAAAAUGCUUCUUGGCUGGGGCCACUACCUCCUUUCCUAUCUUUACAUCUAUGUGUAUGUUGACUUUUUAAAAUUCUGAGUGAUCCAGGGUAUGACCUAGGGAAUGAACUAGCUAUGAAAUACUCAGGGUUAGGAAUCCUAGCACUUGUCUCAGGACUCUGAAAAGGAACGGCUUCCUCAUUCCUUGUCUUGAUAAAGUGGAAUUGGCAAACUAGAAUUUAGUUUGUACUCAGUGGACAGUGCUGUUGAAGAUUUGAGGACUUGUUAAAGAGCACUGGGUCAUAUGGAAAAAAUGUAUGUGUCUCCCAGGUGCAUUUCUUGGUUUAUGUCUUGUUCUUGAGAUUUUGUAUAUUUAGGAAAACCUCAAGCAGUAAUUAAUAUCUCCUGGAACACUAUAGAGAACCAAGUGACCGACUCAUUUACAACUGAAACCUAGGAAGCCCCUGAGUCCUGAGCGAAAACAGGAGAGUUAGUCGCCCUACAGAAAACCCAGCUAGACUAUUGGGUAUGAACUAAAAAGAGACUGUGCCAUGGUGAGAAAAAUGUAAAAUCCUACAGUGAAAUGAGCAGCCCUUACAGUAUUGUUACCACCAAGGGCAGGUAGGUAUUAGUGUUUGAAAAAGCUGGUCUUUGAGCGAGGGCAUAAAUACAGCUAGCCCCAGGGGUGGAACAACUCUGGGAGUCUUGGGUACUCGCACCUCUUGGCUUUGUUGAUGCUCCGCCAGGAAGGCCACUUGUGUGUGCGUGUCAGUUACUUUUUUAGUAACAAUUCAGAUCCAGUGUAAACUUCCGUUCAUUGCUCUCCAGUCACAUGCCCCCACUUCCCCACAGGUGAAAGUUUUUCUGAAAGUGUUGGGAUUGGUUAAGGUCUUUAUUUGUAUUACGUAUCUCCCCAAGUCCUCUGUGGCCAGCUGCAUCUGUCUGAAUGGUGCGUGAAGGCUCUCAGACCUUACACACCAUUUUGUAAGUUAUGUUUUACAUGCCCCGUUUUUGAGACUGAUCUCGAUGCAGGUGGAUCUCCUUGAGAUCCUGAUAGCCUGUUACAGGAAUGAAGUAAAGGUCAGUUUUUUUUUGUAUUGAUUUUCACAGCUUUGAGGAACAUGCAUAAGAAAUGUAGCUGAAGUAGAGGGGACGUGAGAGAAGGGCCAGGCCGGCAGGCCAACCCUCCUCCAAUGGAAAUUCCCGUGUUGCUUCAAACUGAGACAGAUGGGACUUAACAGGCAAUGGGGUCCACUUCCCCCUCUUCAGCAUCCCCCGUACCCCACUUUCUGCUGAAAGAACUGCCAGCAGGUAGGACCCCAGAGGCCCCCAAAUGAAAGCUUGAAUUUCCCCUACUGGCUCUGCGUUUUGCUGAGAUCUGUAGGAAAGGAUGCUUCACAAACUGAGGUAGAUAAUGCUAUGCUGUCGUUGGUAUACAUCAUGAAUUUUUAUGUAAAUUGCUCUGCAAAGCAAAUUGAUAUGUUUGAUAAAUUUAUGUUUUUAGGUAAAUAAAAACUUUUAAAAAUUUGUUA